GCGUUAAUCGGAAUUACUGGGCGUAAAGGGUGCGUAGGUGGUUAAUUAAGUUAUCUGUGAAAUCCCUGGGCUCAACCUGGGCAGGUCAGAUAAUACUGGUUAACUCGAGUAUGGGAGAGGGUAGUGGAAUUUCCGGUGUAGCGGUGAAAUGCGUAGAGAUCGGAAGGAACACCAGUGGCGAAGGCGGCUACCUGGCCUAAUACUGACACUGAGGCACGAAAGCGUG
rnacentral:rRNA from 1 species